CUUCAUCACUCUGGAGAGACCGGUUGAAUCCGGCGCCGAAGGUGCAAGAGGCCUACCCGCCUCCAAACUCUCAGGCAAAAGGACAGAGGGGCGCCC
rnacentral:ncRNA from 2 species